rnacentral:rRNA from 1 species
AGUGAACACUGGCGGUAGGCCUAACACAUGCAAGUCGAACGGCAGCACAGUAAGAGCUUGCUCUUACGGGUGGCGAGUGGCGGACGGGUGAGGAAUACAUCGGAAUCUACUUUUUCGUGGGGGAUAACGUAGGGAAACUUACGCUAAUACCGCAUACGACCUACGGGUGAAAGCAGGGGAUCUUCGCACCUUGCGCGAUUGAAUGAGCCGAUGUCGGAUUAGCUAGUUGGCGGGGUAAAGGCCCACCAAGGCGACGAUCCGUAGCUGGUCUGAGAGGAUGAUCAGCCACACUGGAACUGAGACACGGUCCAGACUCCUACGGGAGGCAGCAGUGGGGAAUAUUGGACAAUGGGCGCAAGCCUGAUCCAGCCAUACCGCGUGGGUGAAGAAGGCCUUCGGGUUGUAAAGCCCUUUUGUUGGGAAAGAAAAGCAGCAGGUUAAUACCCCGCUGUUCUGACGGUACCCAAAGAAUAAGCACCGGCUAACUUCGUG